AUUGAACGCUGGCGGAAUGCUUUACACAUGCAAGUCGAACGGCAGCAUAGGUGCUUGCACCUGAUGGCGAGUGGCGAACGGGUGAGUAAUAUAUCGGAACGUGCCCAGUCGUGGGGGAUAACGUAGUGAAAAUUACGCUAAUACCGCAUACGAUCUAAGGAUGAAAGCGGGGGAUCGCAAGACCUCGCGCGAUUGGAGCGGCCGAUAUUAGAUUAGGUAGUUGGUGAGGUAAAGGCUCACCAAGCCAACGAUCUGUAGCUGGUCUGAGAGGACGACCAGCCACACUGGGACUGAGACACGGCCCAGACUCCUACGAGAGGCAGCAGUGGGGAAUUUUGGACAAUGGACGCAAGUCUGAUCCAGCCAUUCCGCGUGCAGGACGAAGGCCUUCGGGUUGUAAACUGCUUUUGUACGGAACGAAGAGGUCUCUAUUAAUACUAGGGGCUCAUGACGGUACCGUAAGAAUAAGCACCGGCUAACUACGUGCCAGCCGCCGCAGUAA
rnacentral:rRNA from 1 species